CUCCUAUGUGAUGCAUUCCAUGAUGGCCCGCGAUUGGACCAUAUGUUUACUAUAACCCCGCCCCCAGGAUCAGUCAUUGGCUGACAGCAAUUAUAGGGGUCUUUAAAUACUCAGAAAUGUCCAGAGACAAACAACCUUCCGCCCAUGCUUCAAAAGAAUCCUUGGGCAGUGGAGAGGAGUGGGACCCAACCCAGGAGGAAGAUAUGGAUAGUCAACAGAGACCAUCCAAACAACGUGGACACAGGUCAUCCAAGAAGAGGCCAAGCCAGGCAUGGUUCCCAAUGAUUGGCGUAUAGCUGAAGUUGUGCCGAUAUUCAAAAAGGGAAGUAAAUCUGAAUUGGGUAAUUAUAGACCAGUAUUCUACAAAAAGAAAAACCUAAUGGACUAAGAAGGUCAAGAAAC